CAUUCGCUCUGUCCCUUUGCUGAGUGACGCGCUCCGAACAAUGUUGGCUUAAGGUGUUAACUGAGGUAGUCGGUGCUGUUCAUUCUGGGGAAGGCUGCUGGGACCCGAGCCGUUGGUGGUAAAUGUAUUAUGUGCUGCUUUGGAGCUGGAGCUGAAGACUUGUUGAUUGCCUCCCAUUUACCAAGAUUACAGCAAAUUACAUUUAACUGACCGUCAUGUGAACACUCUGAUGUUGUACAUGGAUGAGGGAUGUUGCUAUACAAACCACAGGUUCUGAGGCUAACAGUAGAACCAGUGGGCUGAAGAUACGAGAUUUUCCAUCUCAACAGAAGAACUUCUUGGCGGUUAUAGCUGCAUCAAGAUGACAGUGGUAGUGAUUUCCUCUGGGAAUCUGGGGAACCUGAGACGGAAGAAUACAGCAGCCAUACCCCUGAAGUGUCCUGUGGGAACCUGCUUACUGAAGAAAGUCAUUUCCAGUUAUGGGUGUCUACCCAACAGUGCGAUUCCAGAACCAGUUACGUGUGUUGAGACAGCAAGUCUACAAUUUUAUAGGAACUACUUCACAUCAAUAGAAACAUCAUUACGCGGCACAAGAUCAAUAUUUCAGAUUUUCAUGCUUAGUGUUAUUCUUCGAGAAUGACCAGAAAUUGUCAUUUAUAUGGAGUUAUGUUCUAUUCUGAAAUGCUAGAGAGCAGAUAAUGACUUGGGAGAACAUUGAGAUUAAUGUUCUAGGGGGAGCGCCUACCCCGUAGGCAAUGUAAUAGUCAAGCCGCAGUACAGUGUACCUGAAGGGAGAGGAAACCCCCCCUUUUUGUCAACAAAUAAUACAAGGAGUCCGAUAUCUGUUGCAUUUAUUUUGUAAAAUUCUUUUUAAAUUGAAGACUAGAGCACACAUACAGAAGAAGGCGCAAUUCCUAGGUACACGGCACAGUGAAUUAUCACAAAGUAAACACACCUGUGUAAGCACCAGCCAGGCCAAGGAAAGAGAACAUUGCCAGCCGGCCCCUCCCCAGGAGGCACCUUGGUGGUAUCACGACCCCCUCCCUUCUCACCACUAUUUUUCUUGACCGCUCACAGGGUUAGUUUUACCUGCUUUGGAAUUUUAUGUUGCAUAUAUUCUUUAAUCUUUUUUUAAUCAAAGCAUCUGGAAACCAUUCGUUUCAUGAAUGAUGUCACAUCUCAGAAGUCAAAUAAUUGUUCCUUUGUAGGAAACUCUCUGUUGGGAAUCUAAAUAGCUAACCCCAUAAAUCAUUAUCAUAAAAACUCGUUUGUGAUUUACUUGAGAAGUCAGCGUGAAGAGUAACAUCACGACCUUGUGAUCUAACACAUGCACGCAAAUGGAAUUAUUAAAAAUAAAGAUAAAUGAGCCCUGGAAUAUUCAAUUUCCGAAUUAUCUGGUUCUCCUUGCUCUAGCCUUUCUUGAUAGUAAGGUGACUCUAACCUUUGGGACAUAGUCACAUUCUUUUGAUUAGUUUUUCUAUUCUUUGUACCAGCUUGGUCUUUUGUUCAAAUGCAUUUUCCCUAACAAAGCUGUUGUAGUACUUAAUAGUUUAAAAAAGAAAGGACUUCAAAGCCACAGAUACGAAGAGAGGCUUCUAUUUGGUGACAGACUUCUAAAAUUAGGACUCACCCUAAUGCCCAUAAACACACGUGAGCAAUAUAUUUACUCAAUUCUAAGGGGAAAUCAGGUAUGAGAUGCGAUGAAGAAGA